UCCCACCCGAGCCGCGCGUGGGCGGCGCCGGGCUUUGACCCCGCGCAGGCAGACAAGCGCCGCCGGCCAGAUGGAACCGUGAGAAAGUUUUUCUCCCUUGUCAUCCCCUUCCCAGAGCCACAGAAAUUAUCCCUGUGGUCUCCCUUGUCCUCACUCGGCCUUUUCUGGAGUUCAGAGAUCCAAGCCAACUGCUGGGUCUGUUCCCUGCUAAAAUCUUAGGCCGGCGUCCCAUCCACCCAUCCCCAUGCCUACGACUUUUAAGCUGGCAACACCACUUGGGUUUAGUUUUCCCUUCGUAUAUCACUAUCUUCGUUGCUUACCUUCUUGUGCCUAAAGUUCCACCGAUGUGCAAGAUUAACCACUAAAGUGCACCUGACACUACUCUUGACAAAUUGCAGUUGGGAGGCGGAAGAUACAUGGAUAAGAGAUAGUGCUAACAUGUACCUUCUACUUGGAUGGACAGUAUGGCAUGUGAAGAUUCAUAUCGUGAACUUUUGCUCCGAGAACCACUGCAGGACCAUACCAGGAAAACCUAAAGAAUUCACAGAUCUUUGAAAGAAGCACUUCAGGAGUGAAGCUGCAGAACUUUGCGUGAUCAAUUGCUGAUACAGAAAACAACAGAAGACCAUAUUGGAAGAAAUGCCAC